rnacentral:lncRNA from 1 species
GUUCCAACAGGCAGCCAUCAGCACAGCUCUGCCUGCAGCAUCAAAAGUACUUGCAGAAUCACAGAACUGUAGGGGUUGAAAAGGACCUCUGGAGAUCAUCUAGUCCAACCCACUGCUAAAGCAGUCCCUAGAGGCUCCCUUCCCUGAGUGUCAACGCUGAAUUCCACAUGCACCAGUGAUGCUCGCUGAUGUGGCUUAUUUUUGUCUUUCUGGAGUCCCUCAC